rnacentral:lncRNA from 1 species
AUGGCAUCCGAAUGGAUGACCAGGAUGAAGGAUUGAUUAGCUUUGGCUAAUGGCAUCCGAAUGGAUGACCAGGAUGAAGGAUUGAUUAGCUUCGGCUAAUGGCAUCCGAAUGGAUGACCAUGACGAACGACUGAUUAGCUUUGGCUAAUGGCAUCCAAUGGAUGGCCGGGACAAAGAAUGAUUAGCUUUGGCUAAUGGCAUCGUAAUGGAUGACCGGGACGAACGACUGAUUAGCUUUGGCUAAUGACAUCCAAUGGAUGGCCGGGACAAAGAAUGAUUAGCUUUGGCUAAUGGCAUCCGAAUGGAUGACCGGGACGAACGACUGAU